UACGGGGGGGUGCGAGCGUUAAUCGGAAUUACUGGGCGUAAAGGGUGCGUAGGUGGUUUAAUAAGUUAUGUGUGAAAUUCCUGGGCUUAACCUGGGACUGUCAGAUAAGACUGUUAGACUCGAGUAUGGGAGAGGGUAGUGGAAUUUCCGGUGUAGCGGUGAAAUGCGUAGAGAUGUGGAGGAACCCCAGAGGCGAAGGCGGCGCCCUGGCUCGCAACUGACGCUCAGACACGACAGGCAUGGGGAGCGAACGGG
rnacentral:rRNA from 1 species